AAAAUGCGACAACUGCGCUAGGCUGGGCACAGAGCAGUGGGUACGUCAACACUCGAUCACAAUGGAUGAUGUCAUGCUGCUGCA
rnacentral:SRP_RNA from 1 species